UAUGGAGGGGGCUAGCGUUGUUCGGAAUUACUGGGCGUAAAGCGUGCGCAGGCGGUUCGCCAAGUCAGGUGUGAAAUCCCCGGGCUUAACCUGGGAAUUGCGCUUGAAACUAGCGGGCUUGAGUGUGGCAGAGGGGGGUGGAAUUCCACGUGUAGCAGUGAAAUGCGUAGAGAUGUGGAGGAACACCGAUGGCGAAGGCAGCCCCCUGGGUCAACACUGACGCUCAUGCACGAAAGCGUGGGGAGCAAACAGG
rnacentral:rRNA from 1 species